AGUUUUUCACUCUGCAUAUGUACCUUUGGGCAAUUGUCCUGCUAUUUUCUUAGGCUAUUAUUCCUCACACUGGAAUUUCUGAAUGAAAAGAUACUGUCAAAUUGACCCUCAAAGUGUGCAGCUGAUUCAUAUUCUCACCGGCAGGUCCUGCGUGCAUCUCCCAGGCCCCUCACCAACACUUCCACACUCGCCACCUAAGAGUUGGAAACUGGACCCUGGCUCUACAGAGAAACUCUUAACUACUUCAUGCUGAAACUCCCUCAUGCCAACUGGUUGCUGAAAUGACUGCCAACUGCUCUCCACUGCCAUGUCCUUGCCUUGCUUUGGCAUGCUGACUAGACCUCGGCUGGAUCUGUCAAACCUAGUGCCAGCCUCAUCCCAGUAGAAGCAUCUGAUCCCAUCUUUUGACCAUUUCUCCAGCCUUCCCCACCAUGGCGAUCACUGUGCCUAGCAGUAGCUCUAAAUGAAAGGGGAUUUAACCUCUUUUAUUUAUUUUAAAAUUUUUAUUGAAGCAUAAUUGACGUACAGUCAGGAGUAUAACUAUUCAACCUCUUUUAAAAUGUGAUGCCCUAAAUCAGAAAAGCAGUAUUAAGAUGUUAUCCGACAAUGAAUAUCAACUCUUGUUAUAGUUACUAUGCUUUUAUUAAGCGAAUUAAAAUCACCUUGACUAUGAAGUCAUCAAACUUUUAAAACAUGACUUUCUAUACAUUGUUACCAUACUGGGUACUUUAUGUUCUACUGGUUGAUGCAAAAUAUAUGCUGGCUCAAUAAUAUGAACUGCUCUAAACAGAUUCUGCUCAUAACAAUGUAAAAUUUGGAAAGAAGAAGUAACAAAAAGAAUUAUCAACGAUGAUCAAAAUGAUCCCGAGCAACUAUAACCCAAAAUUACAUAGGUCCUCAGGAGACCAUUCUCAAUGGAGAAGAGGAUUCCUCCAUUUCCCUGCUGGCACCACAAUGAGAGUGAAAAAAGCACUGAGAGGUGGGGCUCUGGAACAUUCUGAUAGGAUUGUCAAUCAUUUGGCUCUGCUACCCCGGCCACAGAGGGAGCACGUAACCCUUCAAGCAUAACAGUAUGGACACUAGGAGGGGUCUCCUAAAAUCCUCGGAUGAGUGGAUCAUGUACUUUAUGAUGCUGUCAGAAGUCCACUUGUAUGUGCUGGUAUGCCUGAGGACAACGCUGAGAUCACAGAUGAAAGUGGGACCAAGAAAUGGAGAUAGAAACCAAUUUUUGCUUGAGUAACUGUAAUCAGUCAUGUCUGAAGACAUAUAACCUCUAGACGUUUUAGUUAGAAGAACCAAUAAAUUCUUAUUAAAAAAAUUUUUUUGAACUACCUUGAGAUGGAUUUCUAACACUAAUAACUGAAAGAAUUUAGACUUAUAGACUAUAGAAUUGAACUAUAAAAUUAAUUACAUUAGUACAUAAAAAUUUAGCUGUUGUUUUUACCUAGCCAGAAUCCUUUCUUCCCUUGGAAAACUGCACCUCCUUUAUUCCACAUUGAUCUGAUUAAGCUGCCAAAAAUAGGACCCAUUCCCCAUUUACACUCAUGAGUAGGCAAAUGGCCUAUGUGUGGCCAAUUAUAAUAGCCUAUCUCUGUCCACAGUGAAUAUCUGAAGAUGGACAGCUGACCCAUGCUGGGCCAAUCUGUGUCUUUCUCUACAACUUUUCCUCACAGGGGAGAUUGCCUUUUUCCCCUGUCAUCACAAGGCACAUAGGGUAUCAGCUGACAGUUGUCAGUGAUCACAUGGACCAAAUCCAUUUACAGAAGAGGGUAAGAUCCAAGAGAAGCAGAACCAUGGAAUGAAGCAAAAAGAGCUCUUUUUGUGCCCCUGGUUCCAAUAAUGUUUAAUAUCAGAUUCACCAUCAUCCUAGACAGUUAAUGAUAGAUCCUUCUUCCCCUUAAGCUAGUGUAAACUGGUUUCUAUCUUGUAAUCUAAAAAGUCUGAACAUGAUGUUCUAGUCCUGCACAGUUCAAUAGGGUAGCCACUAGCCACACAGGGCUAUUAAAAUUAAAUUAAAUAAAAAAAUUCAAUUCCUUAGGUGCAUCAGCCAUAUUUCAAGUGCUCAGUAGUCACAUGAAGCUAUUGGCUAUUUUAUCAGACAGUGCAAACAUUCCUAUCACUAUGGAAAGUUCUAUCUAGACAGUGCUAUUCCAGUUAAGAAAUACCAAAAAAGAAAUUUUGUUAGCUUGUUAAGUGUGGAAAAUUAAAUUAGCAGUCAAAAUACUUGCCAAGGGCAAUAGCUAUUCACACCCAAGUAAGAUGUAUGCAGCAAGCAAGGAUCAACUUAGGAAAAGGUCAAACAGACAAAACUAUACAACAGCAAAAUGACACAUUAUAACUAUGAAUAAUACUGCAUCUAAAGGAAACUAAAGUGUGCUAAGAAAAGAAAAUGUGUACUAAAGUGAUGUGAAGAUGUUUAAAUUAGAUGCCUCAGCCAGGAUUGAAUGUAGAAAAAGAAUUGAGAAAGAAGAUUGUUUCCAGUAUUGUUCUGGGCAGAGGAUAACCAGCUGGGAAAAACUACAAAAAGGGACAGAAGAAAUAACAGGAAAAUAAGGAUGCUGGGCAAGGAGUAUGCCACAGGAUGUGCUGGGUUUUGGGAUGAGUGAGCAGCUUCUCUAGCAUGCAAGAACUUUAAAACUGAUCGCUAUAGUCAACUCUAGACUAUCCAAAUUACGUAUUUCCCAUUAAAAAAAGCCUACUUUCGUGGGCAAAGGGUCUGUUUGUUUCUAUGCAGAAGAUCAAGGCCUAGCUUGGAUACCCAGAAA